AGGGGUACUAUGAUGCAGUAGCCUGCUGAGGUAAAGAGGAGAUGGAGGGAGACUAUGAUGCAGUAGCCUGCUGAGGUAAAGAGGAGAUGGAGGGGUACUAUGAUACAGUAGCCUGCUGAGGUAAAGAGGAGAUGGAGGGGUACUAUGAUGCAGUAGCCUGCUGAGGUAAAGAGGAGAUGGAGGGGUACUAUGAUACAGUAGCCUGCUGAGGUAAAGAGGAGAUAGAGGGAGACUAUGAUGCAGUAGCCUGCUGAGGUAAAGAGGAGAUGGAGGGGUACUAUGAUACAGUAGCCUGCUGAGGUAAAGAGGAGAUAGAGGGAGACUAUGAUGCAGUAGCCUGCUGAGGUAACGAGGAGAUGGAGGGGUACUAUGAUGCAGUAGCCUGCUGAGGUAAAGAGGAGAUGGAGGGGUACUAUGAUGCAGUAGCCUGCUGAGGUAAAGAGGAGAUGGAGGGAUACUAUGAUGCAGUAGCCUGCUGAGGUAAAGAGGAGAUGGAGGGGUACUAUGAUGCAGUAGCCUGCUGAGGUAAAGAGGAGAUGGAGGGAGACUAUG